GCCUGGCUGGCCCAAUGGUUAAGGCGUGCGACUUCUAUCUCCUAGAUAUCUCAAGAUUGCGGGUUCGAGUCCCGCGUCGGGUU
rnacentral:tRNA from 1 species